UACGGAGGGGGCAAGCGUUAUUCGGAAUUACUGGGCGUAAAGCGCGCGCAGGUGGCGUGGUAAGUGGCAGGUGAAAGCCCUCGGCUCAACCGAGGAACUGCCUGCCAAACUGCUACGCUUGAGGCUGGGAGGGGGAAGCGGAAUUCCUGGUGUAGCGGUGAAAUGCGUAGAUACCAGGAGGAACACCGGUGGCGAAGGCGGCUUCCUGGACCAGUUCUGACACUCAUGCGCGAAAGCGUGGGGAG
rnacentral:rRNA from 1 species